rnacentral:rRNA from 1 species
UACGUAGGGUGCAAGCGUUAAUCGGAAUUACUGGGCGUAAAGCGUGCGCAGGCGGUUAUGCAAGACAGAUGUGAAAUCCCCGGGCUCAACCUGGGAACUGCAUUUGAGACUGCAUAGCUAGAGUACGGUAGAGGGGGAUGGAAUUCCGCGUGUAGCAGUGAAAUGCGUAGAUAUGCGGAGGAACACCGAUGGCGAAGGCAAUCCCCUGGACCUGUACUGACGCUCAUGCACGAAAGCGUGGGGAGCAAACAGG